rnacentral:rRNA from 1 species
AUUGAACGCUGGCGGCAGGCUUAACACAUGCAAGUCGAGCGGGGUGAUGGUGCUUGCACUAUCACUUAGCGGCGGACGGGUGAGUAAUGCUUAGGAAUCUGCCUAUUAGUGGGGGACAACAUCUCGAAAGGGAUGCUAAUACCGCAUACGUCCUACGGGAGAAAGCAGGGGAUCACUGGUGACCUUGCGCUAAUAGAUGAGCCUAAGUCGGAUUAGCUAGUUGGUGGGGUAAGGGCCUACCAAGGCGACGAUCUGUAGCGGGUCUGAGAGGAUGAUCCGCCACACUGGGACUGAGACACGGCCCAGACUCCUACGGGAGGCAGCAGUGGGGAAUAUUGGACAAUGGGGGGAACCCUGAUCCAGCCAUGCCGCGUGUGUGAAGAAGGCCUUAUGGUUGUAAAGCACUUUAAGCGAGGAGGAGGCUCUUUUGGUUAAUACCCAAGAUGAGUGGACGUUACUCGCAGAAUAGCACCGGCUAACUCUGUGCCAGCAGCCGCCGCAG